rnacentral:rRNA from 1 species
GACGUAGGGCGCAAGCGUUGUCCGGAUUUAUUGGGCGUAAAGAGCUCGUAGGCGGCUUGUUGCGUCGACCGUGAAAUCCCUGGAGCUCAACUCCGAGCCUGCGUUCGAUACUGGACGGCUAGAGUCUGGUAGGGGGAUCUGGAAUCCUGGGUGUAGCGGUGGAAUGCGCAGAUAUCAGGAGGAACACCGGUGGCGAAGGCGGGACCUGGGCCAGUACUGACGCUGAGGAGCGAAAGCGUGGGGAGCAAACAGGG